GGGUGGACGAUCUGGCGUCAGCGGGGCGGAGCGGUCACCAGCAGUCACGAGAAGACUCAUAAUCUGGACGGCGUCGGUUCGAGCCCGACCCCCACCCA
rnacentral:tRNA from 1 species